rnacentral:lncRNA from 1 species
UAGAAUAUGAUCAUACAAAAAAUGGACUAGAAGAUCCAUUCUUUAGACGUCUAAAGUAAUUACAUGACUGAUACUUAUGAGAUCAUAACUUCUAAUUUAUAUUUUGGGAACAUUCAAACAUGUAUAUUGAGAUACUAAUUCGCAUCAAGCCAACUAGUUAUUAUAAGUUCUCCCCUAAUUUACAAUUUGAACUUUGUUUAUAAACAUGAUUCCCAUGUAAACAUUUUUUGAUGUGUUGUGUAUGUGCAAUUGCUUCAAUAGAAUGCAUUUAAACGGUUCUUAAAGAAUAUUGGGAAAAUGUAUUUGAUAUGAAUCUCCAUCUAUUAUAAAUCAUCUUGAGCCAAAAAUUGG